rnacentral:rRNA from 1 species
UACGUAGGGGGCGAGCGUUGUCCGGAUUUAUUGGGCGUAAAGAGCUCGUAGGCGGUUCGGCAAGUCGACGGUGAAAUCUCCACGCUCAACGUGGAGGGGUCCGUCGAUACUGCCGUGACUCGAGUCCGGUAGGGGAGUGUGGAAUUCCCGGUGUAGCGGUGAAAUGCGCAGAGAUCGGGAGGAACACCCGUAGCGAAGGCGGCACUCUGGGCCGGUACUGACGCUGAGGAGCGAAAGCGUGGGAGCAACAGGGAUUAAGA